UGUACAUUCAGUUCAUAAUCAAUAACUUAAGUUUCUACUACAAAGUAUGAACAGUGUUGUGACAUCGUAGAACAUAUAUUGCUAUCAAAUAAUUUACAUCAUAGUAUAGAAAUAUAUAAAUAUAUGCAAUUUUGUACAAUAAUUUAUCAAUGGUAAAAAAAUGAUUGAAUAAAAAUGACCCAUUUGUCUUGUUUGUUAUAUUGCGAGAAAAUAAAUUAAAUAAGUCAAUCAAGUGAUAGAAGAUUAAUUAUUUGGCUGAUUAAAACAAAGUUUGGCGACUUUUCGGACUUUAAUUAAUUUUGUCCAAAUAUUAUGCGGAUGUUGUAUAGAAAAUAAGCAGUAAAUCUAUUGUGGAAAAAAAUGUUAUAUUAAAAAUAGCCUAUUUGUUAUAAUGUGAGAAGAUGUGAUGUGGACCAUAAUUAUCUACAGUGUAAUGACUUCUUGGUUGCCGACAUACGAAAUGGAGAUGCAAGGCAUAUGAUAUUUGCCACGGAAAAACAACUGAAACUUCUGAGUAACACAAAACGAUGGUUCACGGAUGAUACCUUUAAGGUUAUGGGAGAGCCUUAUUCAUCAGGUCAGUUGGAAUCGAUCCAUGGUUUUGUCACAAAGGAUGGCUGUGAGAAACAGGUACCAAUGGUAUUCAUUCUAAUGUGAAGGAAAAGAACAGAGGAUUAUGUUAAGGUGUUGACAGAGAUCCGAGACGCUCUUGACAAUGUGGUAGUGGAGAAUUUUGUAAUUGAUUUCGAACAAGCGGCAUGGUUAGCUGUUCGUCAGGUGUUCCCUGGCUGACUCUUCCACUUCGCUCAAGCGCUGUAGAGGAAAGUCCAAGAUCUUGGGUUAAGACCAUCAUACAUUGAAAGGUCAUCAGUGUACAAGUAUGUGCGUCAGAUGAUGGCUCUCCCCUUCUUACACUCUGGGCACAUUGAUCAAGUCUUCAGAGAACUGGCAAGAAGAGCGAACACCGAUAAACUUCAGAACUUUGUUGCCUACAUGGAGAACCAAUGGACGAACCAUCCAAUCUUCGAUAUACCCUCGUGGUCUGUGUAUGGCAUUACAGUCCGGACAAAGAAUGACACAGAAGAAAAGCUAUAGUUAUAAUAUUAUUGUAUAUAUUGCACAACUCUUUAUGCAUUUAAAUAUUAAUCAACCGACAGACCAUUGUCAUGAUCUUGAAGAUUUUUUGAUAAAUAUG
rnacentral:lncRNA from 1 species